rnacentral:lncRNA from 1 species
UCCCACUCCUGGCCAGGGUGCUCUGUGGCCUCGGAAAGGAGCUGCCCCAUCCGGGAACCUACUGUGCAGCUCCAUUGCUCACGGGCAAAGGGACAGCUUCCAGGAGAGACAUGGGACAACAGCUGUCCUCAUGUCUGGAUGGCUGAUGAUGGGGGAGGGUCUCAGAGUUGCAGGACCAAUGGAGUGAUGGCCCGGCCCCCCUGCUCCAGACUCCGAGGGGAGAGCCUCCAGGGUCCCGUGGCUGCCAUGACAGCGUCAGAGGAACGGAUUCUCUCACAGGCCGGGCUGCGGGAAGUCUGAGACCCAGGGAUUGAGGGCAGGAUCCUUCCGGCCCACUCCAGAUUCAAAUUCUGGCCUCCUCUCCACAUGGCUCCGCCUCCUCCGCAUCUGUGCUCUCUCCAGCUGUGUCUGUGGGGACGCAGGGCCCCAAGUUCCCUGGAGUGAGUGCUCCGCAGAGCCUCCAAGACGAAGACAAUGGGAGCAGUCACCACGCGCGACCCCAGGGCCCUUGCUCCUGGCAGCAGAAGGAGGGAUAAGAAAAUGCAGGCUCAACUUGCACCAGUUCACAGGGGCUGGUGCCACACCAACGGCUGUGCUGUGCCAUCUGCUCCUGUCCUGUGCUGGCUAAUAAACUCCUAAAUACCAAA